rnacentral:misc_RNA from 1 species
AAAACCGGAAUAAAGGGGGGAGCAAAGGAGGAAAUAAGGGAGAAUACUGUGUAAUAAAAUAAAAAAUGAGUCUGGUAGAACCGUAACCGGCGUAAGAGACACGAAAAGCAUGGCCGCAGGAUGUUGUGCGAACAAUAUUCAAAAUCUUUGGUAUAUCCGACAGUCUAAUAUUUGCUAUGGAGAUGAACGGUUCGAGUGUGGGUUCCCUCCCUUCUCCCUUUCUCCAGCUUCUUUACACCCCCUCUUACCGUGGAUAAGUACACGCUAGGAAUAAGGAUGCAUGGAAACGAUGAAAGAGAGAACGGAUGAACGUUGGAUACGACGUCGUCUAUUCGAACAGUGCUUCUCCGUACGAUUCAUCGUUUCGAAUGGUGGGAUAAAAAGCAAUAUUGCACGGGGACAACAGUGGCUGC